CCCUUAGAUGUCCUGGGCCGCACGCGCGCUACACUGACAUGUUCAACAAGCCUCCUAGUUCGACAGGAUUUGGGAAAUCUUUGAACGCAUGUCGUGAUAGGGAUAGAUCAUUGCAAUUAUUGAUCUUGAACGAGGAAUUCCUAGUAACCGCGAGUCAUCAGCUCGCAUUGAUUGCGUCCCUGCCCUUUGUACACACCGCCCGUCGCACCUACCGAUUGAAUGUUUCGGUGAAGAUUCCGGAUAGGACUUUUUUGAUUUAUUUCAAUUCUGUCUUAAAAGCUAUCUAAACCUCAACAUUUAGAGGAAGGUGAAGUCGUAACA
rnacentral:rRNA from 1 species